UACGGAGGGUGCAAGCGUUAAUCGGAAUUACUGGGCGUAAAGCGCGCGUAGGCGGCUGGAUAAGUCGAUUGUGAAAGCCCCGGGCUCAACCUGGGAAUGGCAGUGGAUACUGGCAAGCUGGAGUGCGGUAGAGGGUAGUGGAAUUCCCGGUGUAGCGGUGAAAUGCGCAGAUAUCAGGAAGAACACCCGUGGCGAAAGCGGCUCUCUGGAACGGUACUGACGCUGAGACGCGAAAGCGUGGGGAGCGAACAGG
rnacentral:rRNA from 1 species